ACACUGGGACUGAGACACGGUCCAGACUCCUACGGGAGGCAGCAGUGGGGAAUAUUGGACAAUGGGCGAAAGCCUGAUCCAGCCAUGCCGCGUGUGUGAAGAAGGUCUUCGGAUUGUAAAGCACUUUAAGUUGGGAGGAAGGGCAUUAACCUAAUACGUUAGUGUUUUGACGUUACCGACAGAAUAAGCACCGGCUAACUCUGUGCCAGCAGCCGCGGUAAUACAA
rnacentral:rRNA from 1 species